UUGGAGGGCAAGUCUGGUGCCAGCAGCCGCGGUAAUUCCAGCUCCAAUAGCGUAUAUUAAAGUUGUUGCAGUUAAAAAGCUCGUAGUUGAAUUUCGGGAUUGACACAUCGGUCGAGCCUUAAGGGGUAUGAACUGGUGUAGUCAAUUUCUCACCUUCUGGAGAACCGCGAUGCCCUUAAUUGGGUGCCGCGGGGAACCAGGACCUUUACUUUGAAAAAAUUAGAGUGUUUAAAGCAGGCAUUUUGCUUGAAUACAUUAGCAUGGAAUAAUAAAAUAGGACGGCAUGAUUCUAUUUUGUUGGUUUCUAGGAUCACCGUAAUGAUUAAUAGGGAUAGUUGGGGGCAUUAGUAUUCAAUUGUCAGAGGUGAAAUUCUUGGAUUUAUUGAAGACUAACUACUGCGAAAGCAUUUGCCAAGGAUGUUUUCAUUAAUCAAGAACGAAAGUUAGGGGAUCGAAGACGAUCAGAUACCGUCGUAGUCUUAACCAUAAACUAUGCCGACUAGGAAUCAGACGAUGUUAAUUUUUUAAUGACUCGUUUGGCACCUUACGGGAAACCAAAGUGUUUGGGUUC
rnacentral:rRNA from 1 species